rnacentral:rRNA from 1 species
UACAGAGGCCUCGAGCGUUAGGCGGAAUCACUGGGCUUAAAGCGUGUGUAGGUGGAUGCCUAAGUACCUUGUGAAAUCCCACGGCUUAACCGUGGAACUGCUGGGUAUACUGGGCGUCUCGAGGCACUCAGGGGCGAGCGGAACAAGUGGUGGAGCGGUGAAAUGCGUAGAUAUCACUUGGAACGCCAAUGGUGAAGACAGCUCGCUGGGGGUGUCCUGACGCUGAGGCGCGAAAGCCAGGGGAGCGAACGGG